rnacentral:rRNA from 1 species
GACGAACGCUGGCGGCGUGCUUAACACAUGCAAGUCGAACGGAAAGGCCCUGCUUUUGUGGGGUGCUCGAGUGGCGAACGGGUGAGUAACACGUGAGUAACCUGCCCUUGACUUUGGGAUAACUUCAGGAAACUGGGGCUAAUACCGGAUAGGAGCUCCUGCUGCAUGGUGGGGGUUGGAAAGUUUCGGCGGUUGGGGAUGGACUCGCGGCUUAUCAGCUUGUUGGUGGGGUAGUGGCUUACCAAGGCUUUGACGGGUAGCCGGCCUGAGAGGGUGACCGGCCACAUUGGGACUGAGAUACGGCGCAGACUCCUACGGGAGGCAGCAGUGGGGAAUAUUGCACAAUGGGCGGAAGCCUGAUGAAGAAACGCCGCGUGCGGGAUGACGGCCUUCGGGUUGUAAACCGCUUUCGCCUGUGACGAAGCGUGAGUGACGGUAAUGGGUAAAGAAGCACCGGCUAACUACGUG